rnacentral:rRNA from 1 species
UGGGGAAUAUUGGACAAUGGGCGCAAGCCUGAUCCAGCAAUACCGCGUGUGUGAAGAAGGCCUGAGGGUUGUAAAGCACUUUCAAUUGUGAAGAAAAGUUAAUGGUUAAUACCCAUUAGCCUUGACGUUAACUUUAGAAGAAGCACCGGCUAACUCCGUGCCAGCAGCCGCGGUAAUACGGAGGGUGCAAGCGUUAAUCGGAAUUACUGGGCGUAAAGCGUGCGUAGGUGGUUUGUUAAGUCAGAUGUGAAAGCCCCGGGCUCAACCUGGGAACUGCAUUUGAAACUGGCAUACUAGAGUAUAGGAGAGGAAAGUGGAAUUUCAGGUGUAGCGGUGAAAUGCGUAGAUAUCUGAAGGAACAUCAAUGGCGAAGGCAGCUUUCUGGACUAAUACUGACACUGAGGUACGAAAGCGUGGGUAGCAAACA